UGGCCUUGACAUACUAAGAACUUUCCAGAGAUGGAUUGGUGCCUUCGGGAACUUAGAUACAGGUGCUGCAUGGCUGUCGUCAGCUCGUGUCGUGAGAUGUUGGGUUAAGUCCGCAACGAGCGCAACCCUUUUCCUUAUUUGCCAGCGGGUAAUGCCGGGAACUUUAAGGAUACUGCCAGUGACAAACUGGAGGAAGGCGGGGACGACGUCAAGUCAUCAUGGCCCUUACGGCCAGGGCUACACACGUGCUACAAUGGUCGGUACAAAGGGUUGCUACCUCGCGAGAGGAUGCUAAUCUCAAAAAGCCGAUCGUAGUCCGGAUCGCAGUCUGCAACUCGACUGCGUGAAGUCGGAAUCGCUAGUAAUCGCGGAUCAGAAUGCCGCGGUGAAUACGUUCCCGGGCCUUGUACACACCGCCCGUCACACCAUGGGAGUUUGUUGCACCAGAAGUAGGUAGUCUAACCGCAAGGAGGACGCUUACCACGGUGUGGCCGAUGACUGGGGUGAAGUCGUAACAAGGUAAGCGUAGAUGA
rnacentral:rRNA from 1 species